AAAUGUCCCUUAAUUGUUUGGC
rnacentral:miRNA from 1 species